rnacentral:lncRNA from 1 species
AAAUGGGUCAAUUAAAGUUCAAAUCAAUUACUAACUAGCUCAUUACAUGAGUUGUUGAACCAAACUCAAAAUAAAUUAACUAGACUAAUAAGUGAAUUUGAUAUCACUAACCCAAACGCUUGGUGCUGUCGAUACUAUCCCAGCCGGAUUCUAUAGAUCUAAGCUAGAAUACUAUCAAUAACACCAAGCUAUUUGUGCUAUUAGGUUUUCGGCUUUUUGAUGAAAAAAAUAUACAGUUAGGAUAAUGUGAGUCUCCUUGGAUCGAGUGAGUUAUUAGUUUAAUAAUAUAAUCUAACGGAUGAAAAUAGUCAAAGGGUUAAAUCUAACGGCGGAAAACUUAAUAGUACAAAAUAUUUGGUGCUAUCAAUCGUAUCCCAGCAGGACUAUAUA